GUGCCUGUAGCUCAGCUGGAUAGAGCAACGGCCUUCUAAGCCGUGUGUCGGGAGUUCGAGUCUCUUCAGGCACG
rnacentral:tRNA from 1 species